UACGGGGGGGGCAAGCGUUGUUCGGAAUUACUGGGCGUAAAGGGCGCGUAGGCGGCCUACUAAGUCGGACGUGAAAUCCCUCGGCUCAACCGAGGAACUGCGUCCGAUACUGGCAGGCUGGAAUCCGGGAGAGGGAUGUGGAAUUCCAGGUGUAGCGGUGAAAUGCGUAGAUAUCUGGAGGAACGCCGGUGGCGAAAGCGGCGUGCUGGACCCCUUCUGACGCUGAGGCGCGAAAGCCAGGGGAGCAAACGGG
rnacentral:rRNA from 1 species